rnacentral:rRNA from 1 species
AGUGAACGCUGGCGGUAGGCCUAACACAUGCAAGUCGAACGGCAGCACAGUAAGAGCUUGCUCUUACGGGUGGCGAGUGGCGGACGGGUGAGGAAUACAUCGGAAUCUACUUUUUCGUGGGGGAUAACGUAGGGAAACUUACGCUAAUACCGCAUACGACCUACGGGUGAAAGCAGGGGAUCUUCGGACCUUGCGCGAUUGAAUGAGCCGAUGUCGGAUUAGCUAGUUGGCGGGGUAAAGGCCCACCAAGGCGACGAUCCGUAGCUGGUCUGAGAGGAUGAUCAGCCACACUGGAACUGAGACACGGUCCAGACUCCUACAGAAGGCAGCAGUGGGGAAUAUUGGACAAUGGGCGCAAGCCUGAUCCAGCCAUACCGCGUGGGUGAAGAAGGCCUUCGGGUUGUAAAGCCCUUUUGUUGGGAAAGAAAAGCAGCAGGUUAAUACCCCGCUGUUCUGACGGUACCCAAAGAAUAAGCACCGGCUAACUUCGUG